GACAGGCGAAAUAUAACAGCUCGAAGAGCUGUAUUGUAAUACAUUUCGCCGCACAGCCGCCGAACGAAGUGAGGGGCAAUACCGCUG
rnacentral:sRNA from 12 species